UUAAGCGACUAAGCGUACACGGUGGAUGCCCUGGCAGUCAGAGGCGAUGAAGGACGUGCUAAUCUGCGAAAAGCGUCGGUAAGGUGAUAUGAACCGUUACAGCCGGCGAUGUCCGAAUGGGGAAACCCAGUGCAAUUCGUUGCACUAUCGUUUGAUGAAUACAUAGUCAAACGAGGCGAACCGGGGGAACUGAAACAUCUAAGUACCCCGAGGAAAAGAAAUCAACCGAGAUUCCCCCAGUAGCGGCGAGCGAACGGGGAGCAGCCCGGAGUCUGAAUCAGCUUGUGUGUUAGUGGAAGCGUCUGGAAAGUCGCAGGGUACAGGGUGAUACUCCCGUACACUAAAACACACAGGCUGUGAACUCGAAGAGUAGGGCGGGACACGUGGUAUCCUGUCUGAAUAUGGGGGGACCAUCCUCCAAGGCUAAAUACUCCUGACUGACCGAUAGUGAACCAGUACCGUGAGGGAAAGGCGAAAAGAACCCCGGCGAGGGGAGUGAAAAAGAACCUGAAACCGUGUACGUACAAGCAGUAGGAGCCCACUUGUUGGGUGACUGCGUACCUUUUGUAUAAUGGGUCAGCGACUUAUAUUCUGUAGCAAGGUUAACCGUAUAGGGGAGCCGCAGGGAAACCGAGUCUUAACUGGGCGUUAAGUUGCAGGGUAUAGACCCGAAACCCGGUGAUCUAGCCAUGGGCAGGUUGAAGGUUGGGUAACACUAACUGGAGGACCGAACCGACUAAUGUUGAAAAAUUAGCGGAUGACUUGUGGCUGGGGGUGAAAGGCCAAUCAAACCGGGAGAUAGCUGGUUCUCCCCGAAAGCUAUUUAGGUAGCGCCUCGUGAAUUCAUCUUCGGGGGUAGAGCACUGUUUCGGCUAGGGGGUCAUCCCGACUUACCAACCCGAUGCAAACUACGAAUACCGAAGAAUGUUAUCACGGGAGACACACGGCGGGUGCUAACGUCCGUCGUGAAGAGGGAAACAACCCAGACCGCCAGCUAAGGUCCCAAAGUCAUGGUUAAGUGGGAAACGAUGUGGGAAGGCCCAGACAGCCAGGAUGUUGGCUUAGAAGCAGCCAUCAUUUAAAGAAAGCGUAAUAGCUCACUGGUCGAGUCGGCCUGCGCGGAAGAUGUAACGGGGCUAAACCAUGCACCGAAGCUGCGGCAGCGACGCUUAGGCGUUGUUGGGUAGGGGAGCGUUCUGUAAGCCGUUGAAGGUGGCCUGUGAGGGUUGCUGGAGGUAUCAGAAGUGCGAAUGCUGACAUAAGUAACGAUAAUGCGGGUGAAAAACCCGCACGCCGGAAGACCAAGGGUUCCUGUCCAACGUUAAUCGGGGCAGGGUGAGUCGACCCCUAAGGCGAGGCCGAAAGGCGUAGUCGAUGGGAAACAGGUUAAUAUUCCUGUACUUGGUGUUACUGCGAAGGGGGGACGGAGAAGGCUAUGUUGGCCGGGCGACGGUUGUCCCGGUUUAAGCGUGUAGGUGUGUGUUCCAGGUAAAUCCGGUUCACUUUAACACUGAGGCGUGAUGACGAGGCACUACGGUGCUGAAGUGACAAAUGCCCUGCUUCCAGGAAAAGCCUCUAAGCAUCAGGUAACAUCAAAUCGUACCCCAAACCGACACAGGUGGUCAGGUAGAGAAUACCAAGGCGCUUGAGAGAACUCGGGUGAAGGAACUAGGCAAAAUGGUGCCGUAACUUCGGGAGAAGGCACGCUGAUAUGUAGGUGAAGUGGUUUACCCAUGGAGCUGAAAUCAGUCGAAGAUACCAGCUGGCUGCAACUGUUUAUUAAAAACACAGCACUGUGCAAACACGAAAGUGGACGUAUACGGUGUGACGCCUGCCCGGUGCCGGAAGGUUAAUUGAUGGGGUUAUCCGUAAGGAGAAGCUCUUGAUCGAAGCCCCGGUAAACGGCGGCCGUAACUAUAACGGUCCUAAGGUAGCGAAAUUCCUUGUCGGGU
rnacentral:rRNA from 1 species